GUUUGAUAAAAUAGAUAUUAUUAUUCAUCUAUCCAUUACAAAUAAGAGUAUGAUUUCUAAAUAUUACAAAAAUAUUAUUAAAAGUCACGGUCAAAUUGUUUGUAAAUAAACAUGUAAUAGAAGUUAAGUUUCAUUUGAAGCUUGAUACAAAGAAAAUGUCUUGUAAAAUAAUCUUCCAAAAAUUAUCAAAAUAAAUAUGUAC
rnacentral:lncRNA from 1 species